rnacentral:rRNA from 1 species
UACGUAGGGACCAAGCGUUGUUCGGAUUUACUGGGCGUAAAGGGCGCGUAGGCGGCCACCGCAAGUCGACUGUGAAAUCUCCGGGCUUAACCCGGAAAGGUCAGCCGAUACUGCGGGGCUAGAGUGCAGAAGGGGCAACUGGAAUUCUCGGUGUAGCGGUGAAAUGCGUAGAUAUCAAGAGGAACACCUGCGGCGAAGGCGGGUCUCUGGGCAACAACUGACGCUGAGGAGCGAAAGCGUGGGGAGCGAACAGG